ensembl:lncRNA
GUGGAUGGGAGUAUUCUACCUUAUCUGGGGCAUGAAGAGUUAAAUGUGAGUGCUCCAUAGAUUGGAGAGAAUAUAAAACAUACCCCAACAUUUAUUUUUUUUCACUCUUCUCAAAUUUCAGUCUCAUGACCUGUGGAAGUUUACUUGACAUCCAGUACAGUAGGUGGCGAUAAUGCUCCGGAGUUAUUCGCCAUUAAACAAGAAGAAGAAGAAGAAGAAGAAGAAGGAGGAGGAGGAGAGACAUCAGGAGAUUAGUGCUAUUUGUGAGAUACAGUAUUUAGCAAAAACAGUCUGCUGGAUACUUUACGUCUCUGAUCAAGCUGAAUCUGUAAGUUAUCAUGUCUAAACACAGGACGAAAAAGCUCAUCAUUGAAGAUGAUGAGCCAAAGCAAGAUGAGCUGAAUCCAUUUUCUUUCAAGGAGUUCGUCCGAUACAAGAACCAGCAGUCUUGUACUACAGAAGCCACAGAGGUGUGUGGUGGAGCAUUCAACGUCGAACAGGAUUAUAAUACCUCCAUAGAUUUUGCCACGAAGGGGCCGUUCUUCUCAGACCCGUCUGCGCUCUGUCAGCCUUCUGAAAACGAACCUGAGGAAACAUGGAUUGAAAGCUGCCACCCAUCAGCCCUUGAUGGUUCUCAUGACUUCGAACUAUCUGGUACUUUAGACCUCGGUGCUUUCUCUGAGCAGUCAUCUCUCUGCAGUGAUGAGAGGGGAGCACAUGUAACUGAAUGGGAACUGUGUAAUUCUGACUUCCUGCCAAAGAGCCACUUAGCUAGAAGAAGCACAGGAAGCUAUGAGGGUGAUGAAGAGACUUCAGUGAUUGACAUUUCCUUCCAUCCGAAGAGGAGUAAUGCUGAAAAUGGCACAAAGAAUCCCCAACAGCUUAGAGAAGAGAAUUCUCUACUCAGAAAGCAAAUCAAAGAACUCCUUAGAAGGUCAGAAUCUGACUCCAAAAGGAUCAAACAACUGACGGAUGAGUUGCACAACAAGAAGUUGCAGGAGGAGAGAGAGGCUAAGGCUUUGGAGACAAUGGUGCAGUCAGUAGAACAAAACCUUGAGUUAAUGACGAAGCGAGCAGUCAAAGCUGAAAAUAGUAUUUCAAAAUUGAAACAAGAGAUACAACAACUCCAGGGUCAGCUUGAAGGAUAUAAAAGUGAAAAUGAGAGGCUUAGAUAUGGAGAAACUACCGCCUUAACUACAAUGAGACACAAUGCACAAGUGGCCUCUGAGUACCUUAACAAAGCAGCUCAAGAUGCAGAGACUUCUAUCAAGCAGCUGCUGUCAGGAAGAGAGACACUGUGUUAUGUUUCCCAGUUAUUGACAUCUAUUGACAAGAUCACCGAGAUUCAUGAUUGACUUUCUCUUUAAACAUCAUGUUCUGUACUCUAUAGACUCACUGCAUUUGCAUGGUACAUCGUUUAUUUUGUUCAUCCACUUCAUUAACAUCAUGUUUAGUUUAUAGAAAAUAACAAAAUGAGGUGUGAUGGGCCAAAUGAUUAACAAAAUAAGCUCUAGCAGGAACCAAAUAAAAAAAGUGUACCAAAUAGUGCCUUGGAUUCU